AAUGGAAACAACUUAAGUGCCGGACUGUUGCAAAGGCACGAAAAAACCAUAAAGAAGUACAGAAGACAGGUGGUGGGGAGCCAGUAAAGGGACUCAAUACUGUUCAAGAAAAGGUACUCUCCUGUGUUCCAAAGGUGGUCCUGGAUGGGCUGAAAGGGAAUGACACCGGACCAAUAGGUCUGGUGAGGAGACCGCCUGACAAUUAAGGGCAUGAAACCCUUUUCUGCACACGUACACCUCUUCAUUCUCUGUUGGUGCCACUAUUGGUACCAAAGUGCCAUCAAUAGCACCUACAAUAUUUGGCAGUGAGCACUUUCUG